CCUACGGGUGGCUGCAGUGGGGAAUAUUGGACAAUGGGCGAAAGCCUGAUCCAGCCAUGCCGCGUGUGUGAAGAAGGCCUUCGGGUUGUAAAGCACUUUCAGUGGGGAAGAAAGCCUUGGGGCUAAUACCCUCGAGGAAGGACAUCACCCACAGAAGAAGCACCGGCUAACUCCGUGCCAGCAGCCGCGGUAAUACGGAGGGUGCGAGCGUUAAUCGGAAUUACUGGGCGUAAAGCGCGCGUAGGCGGUCUGAUAAGCCGGUUGUGAAAGCCCCGGGCUCAACCUGGGAACGGCAUCCGGAACUGUCAGGCUAGAGUGCAGGAGAGGAAGGUAGAAUUCCCGGUGUAGCAGUGAAAUGCGUAGAGAUCGGGAGGAAUACCAGUGGCGAAGGCGGCCUUCUGGACUGACACUGACGCUGAGGUGCGAAAGCGUGGGUAGCAAACAGGAUUAGAUAACCCAGUAGUC
rnacentral:rRNA from 1 species